rnacentral:rRNA from 1 species
ACCGCAUACGUCCUACGGGAGAAAGCAGGGGACCUUCGGGCCUUGCGCUAUCAGAUGAGCCUAGGUCGGAUUAGCUAGUUGGUGAGGUAAUGGCUCACCAAGGCGACGAUCCGUAACUGGUCUGAGAGGAUGAUCAGUCACACUGGAACUGAGACACGGUCCAGACUCCUACGGGAGGCAGCAGUGGGGAAUAUUGGACAAUGGGCGAAAGCCUGAUCCAGCCAUGCUUUUGUGUGUGAAGAAGGUCUUCGGAUUGUAAAGCACUUUAAGUUGGGAGGAAGGGCAGUAAGCGAAUACCUUGCUGUUUUGACGUUACCGACAUUUAUAAGCACCGGCUAACUCUGUGCCAGCAGCCUUUUGUAAUACAGAGGGUGCAAGCGUUAAUCGGAAUUACUGGGCGUAAAGCGCGCGUAGGUGGUUUGUUAAGUUGAAUGUGAAAGCCCCGGGCUCAACCUGGGAACUGCAUCCAAAACUGGCAAGCUAGAGUAUGGUAGAGGGUGGUGGAAUUUCCUGUGU